GUAACGCGUGAGGAACCUGCCUCGAAGAGGGGGACAACAGUUGGAAACGACUGCUAAUACCGCAUAAGCCCACGGCUCGGCAUCGAGCAGAGGGAAAAGGAGCAAUCCGCUUUGAGAUGGCCUCGCGUCCGAUUAGCUAGUUGGUGAGGUAACGGCCCACCAAGGCAACGAUCGGUAGCCGGACUGAGAGGUUGAACGGCCACAUUGGGACUGAGACACGGCCCAGACUCCUACGGGAGGCAGCAGUGGGGAAUAUUGCACAAUGGGGGAAACCCUGAUGCAGCGACGCCGCGUGGAGGAAGAAGGUCUUCGGAUUGUAAACUCCUGUUGUUGGGGAAGAUAAUGACGGUACCCAACAAGGAAGUGACGGCUAACUACGUGCCAGCAGCCGCGGUAAAACGUAGGUCACAAGCGUUGUCCGGAAUUACUGGGUGUAAAGGGAGCGCAGGCGGGAAGACAAGUUGGAAGUGAAAUCUAUGGGCUCAACCCAUAAACUGCUUUCAAAACUGUUUUUCUUGAGUAGUGCAGAGGUAGGCGGAAUUCCCGGUGUAGCGGUGGAAUGCGUAGAUAUCGGGAGGAACACCAGUGGCGAAGGCGGCCUACUGGGCACCAACUGACGCUGAGGCUCGAAAGUGUGG
rnacentral:rRNA from 1 species